AUUGAACGCUGGCGGCAUGCCUUACACAUGCAAGUCGAACGGCAGCACGGGAGCAAUCCUGAUGGCGAGUGGCGAACGGGUGAGUAAUAUAUCGGAACGUGCCCAGUCGUGGGGGAUAACGUAGCGAAAGCUACGCUAAUACCGCAUACGAUCUAUGGAUGAAAGCGGGGGAUCGCAAGACCUCGCGCGAUUGGAGCGGCCGAUAUCAGAUUAGUUAGGUGGGGAGGUAAAGGCUCACCAAGCCGACGAUCUGUAGCUGGUCUGAGAGGACGACCAGCCACACUGGGACUGAGACACGGCCCAGACUCCUACGGGAGGCAGCAGUGGGGAAUUUUGGACAAUGGGCGCAAGCCUGACCCAGCAAUGCCGCGUGCAGGAUGAAGGCCUUCGGGUUGUAAACUGCUUUUGUACGGAGCGAAAAGGCUUCCACUAAUACUGGGGGCUCAUGACGGUACCGUAAGAAUAAGCACCGGCUAACUACGUGCCAGCCGCCGCCGUAAUAC
rnacentral:rRNA from 1 species